UGAUUUUGUACUUAUAUAGGUAUAUGGAAUGACCUUGAAUAAAUAAUCUUAAAUCAUAAAACAUAAAUAAGAAAACAAAAAUAUACAAAGAGGCAUUUAUGGGAUCGGUGGGUAUCAACCCCUAUGGCGAAAUACCAAUGAAUACGCAACAACAUUAUGCCACAAGAAAAACUCGCAAAAAAUGUGAUUAUAAAAUCCGGAGUCAUAGAUCCAGCUGUGAUUCCUAGAGCCGCAGAGUGGUCGAGCAUCGUGCUUCUAGUGGAAGACUUUAUUACUAGCUAUUCGUGAUAUGAAGGCAGCACGAAUUGCAAUUCACCGACGUGCUGCUCCGCAGACUGUUAUUCCACCACCAAUGAAUCAGGUUCAUCACAUUUUUAUCAAACCCACACAUGCAUAGCGAUGGAUAGACAGCGGAACCUUUUUAUUCUUCUCUGACGUAUAGUAAUGCAGUAAAAGCAGUCGCUGCUGAUCAAACUAUCAAGAUGGCCGAACUCAAGGAGUCCAAGGAAAAAGGAUAUAAGUAGCAAAAGUGGUGAUACCAUUAAGAUUCGAACUGGGUCAGAGUCGAGUGUUGAAGAAGUUUGAAUUAAAAAACCCAAAAGUUUCAACGGAAGUGAAAGCAGUAAAGAAAUCACCAAAUGAAGCAGCCAAUAUGGAAGCGGCAAUGGAAGAGAAAGUUUGAGCAGCGAAAGAACGUGCCUUAGUACCACUCGGAACACAUGUUAAAUAAUUCAAAGAAAUGCUUCGUGAAAAAGAUUUCAUUCAAGCUUUUGGAAUUUUUGCGAGCAUGGCCGACUACACUCAUCAAACAUUCGUUUGUUGUUGAAAUUUUACUUGGAGGCUUCGAACAACACUCAGCUGCAUAGCUCGGUGCGUAUAAACACUGGCAUACAUUGGCUGGUUAAUAAGAAAGUAAUUUUCACACAGGAGCUCGUUGAACUUAUCAUUCAGGUUGUCUUCCAGUUAAUGGCCAAUGAACCAGAACCGACUGGCGAUCAGGAAGGACACUUUCUUAGUGAAAUCUAACUUGAACCCAAUUGUUCGUAAUGCCUCCAGUGGCGAAGAUAAAAAUAUGCCGCUGACACACCACCGUUGCUAGAAAGAAGAAUAACAUGCAUGUUUGGAUUCGUUCGAUGUUGGCUGCAGCAUGCAUUCAUGCAAUGCUGAAUUCAGAAGUAACGAGUUUGCUUCGGCAACAAGUGCUUGAUCUGUGAUGUGAAGUGAAUUUGUUUAAAAAUAUGAACAUUAACAAAUAAAAUAUUUUAUAAAUUCAAAAUAAUUUCUCUUUUUUCAUUUUAUUUUUAUUUUUUUUUCCUCCCUCCUGGUGAGUAUUGAAU